GGCUUCGUGGUCUAAAGGAUAAGGCAAGCGUUUUCUAAACGUUACGAUGUGGGUUCGAUUCCUACCGGAGCUA